rnacentral:rRNA from 1 species
GCUAUUUAGGUUAGAGUUUGAUCAUGGCUCAGGACGAACGCUGGCGGCACGCUUAACACAUGCAAGUCGAGCGGAAAGGCCCCUUCGGGGGUACUCGAGCGGCGAACGGGUGAGUAACACGUGGGUAAUCUGCCCUAGACACAGGAAUAACCAGUGGAAACGCUGGCUAAUGCCUGAUGAUGUGCCGGCUUUUCGGGGCUGGUACCAAAGGUAGCUUCGGCUUCCGGUCUUGGAUGAGCCCGCGGCCCAUUAGCUUGUUGGCGGGGUAAUGGCCCACCAAGGCGACGACGGGUAGCUGGUCUGAGAGGAUGGCCAGCCACAUUGGGACUGAGAGACGGCCCAGACUCCUACGGGAGGCAGCAGUGGGGAAUCUUGCGCAAUGGCCGAAAGGCUGACGCAGCGACGCCGCGUGGGGGAGGAAGGCCUUCGGGUUGUAAACCCCUGUUGCCCGGGACGAAUGUGCUCCAUUGGGAGCAUUGACGGUACCGGGUGAGGAAGCACCGGCUAACUCCGUGCCAGCAGCCGCGGUAAUCGCC